AGGUGGGGAGGAGCUCCCCUUCCCCUGAGCCUGGUCAGGGAACUGUAUGAACACAUGCUACUCUGAGAAGUGACAGGGGAAUGAGAUGGCCCGCUACAGAUCUGUCCCCUGGAAGCUGGGGGUGGAAUCAGGCAAAAUGAUGGUCCAGUGAAGAAGACAUGUUUGGGCAGAUGGACCUUUCUGAUUCCUGAAAUCUUGAUGAUGAGCCCUUUGAUGCUGAUCCAACACAGACUCUAGCCUGGCUCCACAUAGAAAAGGCCACACAAGGACACAGGGAGAUGUCAACAGCUGGCUGAAGCCAGGGAGAGAGGUCUCAUCAGAAACCAAUCCUGCUGGCACCUGGACUUCCAGCCUCCAAAACCAUUCGAAUUCUCAGUGGUCUCCAAAUAUUUCCCGAGGCAUUUGGAGUGUUCACGUGGAUUCAUUACCUAAGUCCUGAAAAAAGAUGAUACUGAACUGAAAUCCACAGUUUGCUAUGCAUGGAGUCUGCGGCAAGACGGUGUGAAAGUUCUCUGGAGCUUUAAUCACUAAUGACCUCAUCUUCAAGUGGUCAGUGAUAAUAAACAAGAAGAAGGGAUUUCCAGGGGGGCAGAGCAUUAAUAAGUAGGGAAUGGAAACUCAAGGAGGCGAAAUCACCAAGUUUGACGGUGCGGUUCAACUGCGGAUCCCACACACUUCACCUCCAUGAUCCACCUGUCUUGGACCGCGCACUACUGUGCCUGCGCCUCACGGGAUGAGGCUAACCCCACAGCUCCAGGCUUCUGGCAGCGGAGGUCAUCAAAGGCGGGUGACCGGUUAUGUUGAACAAAAACGAUCUUAGAGUGGAAGAAAAGUUGGGGUGUUGUUCACAUCCCUUGGGACCCACGCUACUGGCCAACUCAAACAGAACAACAAGGAGGGAUGCUUCAAAGGAUGCCAUGUGACAACCUUCACCACAGAAAUACGUAUUCCAGAACUGACCAGUAGAACUUCAUAACUAGCUCUUCACUAUGGAUUUAUUAAGAUCAGAAGAAAAGACAUGAAAAGAGGAAGAUCAACUGGGUCUGUUUCAAGAAUGUUAUCAUUCUAAACGUACAGUGCUGCCAUCUCUUAGGAAAAAUGCUUUCUAUUUGAGGACCACCAGCUCUGCAUGUUGAUUUGAAAAGAGAUAAAAGAGCAUCUGGCCACCAUAGUACAGGCUGCACAUUCCCUCCCUCUUCAUUAUGCCGAGAGCUGAAGCAAUUUUUGCUUCUUUCCUAUUUAUACAAAUAAAGAGAACGAUUUGGGAAAUAUGUCAUGCUGGCAUUAAAUACCACCAGUCUUGCUGUGUUGAAAUGUACACGUUCCAUUAACAACAAUUAUAUUGUAUAAUUAAGGUUUUGGUCCCCAAAGUCUGACUCGGAAACUUCC